GAUGAACGCUGGCGGCGUGCCUAAUACAUGCAAGUCGAGCGAACAGACGAGGAGCUUGCUCCUCUGACGUUAGCGGCGGACGGGUGAGUAACACGUGGAUAACCUACCUAUAAGACUGGGAAAACUUCGGGAAACCGGAGCUAAUACCGGAUAAUAUAUUGAACCGCAUGGUUCAAUAGUGAAAGACGGUUUUGCUGUCACUUAUAGAUGGAUCCGCGCCGCAUUAGCUAGUUGGUAAGGUAACGGCUUACCAAGGCAACGAUGCGUAGCCGACCUGAGAGGGUGAUCGGCCACACUGGAACUGAGACACGGUCCAGACUCCUACGGGAGGCAGCAGUAGGGAAUCUUCCGCAAAGGGCGAAAGCCUGACGGAGCAACGCCGCGUGAGUGAUGAAGGUCUUCGGAUCGUAAAACUCUGUUAUUAGGGAAGAACAAAUGUGUAAGUAACUAUGCACGUCUUGACGGUACCUAAUCAGAAAGCCACGGCUAACUACGUG
rnacentral:rRNA from 1 species